GCGGAGGAAAAGAAACCAACUGGGAUUACCUUAGUAACGGCGAGUGAAGCGGUAAAAGCUCAAAUUUGAAAUCUGGUACUUUCAGUGCCCGAGUUGUAAUUUGUAGAAUUUGUCUUUGAUUAGGUCCUUGUCUAUGUUCCUUGGAACAGGACGUCAUAGAGGGUGAGAAUCCCGUUUGGCGAGGAUACCUUUUCUCUGUAAGACUUUUUCGAAGAGUCGAGUUGUUUGGGAAUGCAGCUCAAAGUGGGUGGUAAAUUCCAUCUAAAGCUAAAUAUUGGCGAGAGACCGAUAGCGAACAAGUACAGUGAUGGAAAGAUGAAAAGAACUUUGAAAAGAGAGUGAAAAAGUACGUGAAAUUGUUGAAAGGGAAGGGCAUUUGAUCAGACAUGGUGUUUUUUGCAUGCACUCGCCUCUCGUGGGCUUGGGCCUCUCAAAAAUUUCACUGGGCCAACAUCAAUUCUGGCAGCAGGAUAAAUCAUUAAGAAUGUAGCUACUUCGGUAGUGUUAUAGCUUUUUGGAAUACUGUUAGCCGGGAUUGAGGACUGCGCUUCGGCAAGGAUGUUGGCAUAAUGGUUAAAUGCCGUCCGUCUGC
rnacentral:rRNA from 1 species